GGCGAAACCAUGACGUCACUCACUGUAUCUGACUGUAUGCAGAACGUUCCACUGAGCGCGUGCUCUGAGCACAUGGAAAAGAGGUUGAGAUUUAGCUGCUUGCAAAGUGCGGUAUUGUGAGCUGCGGAGACAUUUCCACGUCAGAAAUGGAAUAUAAAUGUUCACGCAAUAUGUGGGAAUAUCCGAAGAGAGGGUGCUUUUAACUUAUCAUGGAAAAAAAGAAGAUGACAGAUCUGACUUUACGGCGACGAAGGCAGACUAGACGACGAUUUGAGCUAGGAAGGCUCACAUUCUGUGGAGGCUUUCAUGGUUGCAUACAGAAUAAAAAUCCACAUGUUCCAAGUGGAAGGGAUUUCCAAAACCUCCAAGGGAUUAGUGGGAGUACAGUGAGCACUCAGAAGAUGGCUUUGAAAACCCAGAGAUGGAAACCUCUAGAAAGAGUUGCUCCUCUGAAGGAAUUUUGCUAG
rnacentral:lncRNA from 1 species